rnacentral:misc_RNA from 1 species
GAUGAAGAACGUAGCGAAAUGCGAUAAGUAAUGUGAAUUGCAGAAUUCAGUGAAUCAUCGAAUCUUUGAACGCACCUUGCGCCCCUUGGUUAUUCCAAAGGGCAUGCCUGUUUGAGUAUCAUGAACACCUCAACUCUUGUGGUUUCCCACAAUGAGCUUGGACUGUGGAGGUUUUGUUGACCCUGUGGUCAGCUCCUCUCAAAUGGAUCAGCUUACCGGUGUUUGGUGGCAUUACGGGUGUGAUAACUAUCUACGCUCGUGGUCGUCUCCAAAUAACCUCCAGUGAUGGAGGUUCGCUGGAGCUUAUAAAUGUCUCUCCCCAGUGAAGACAGCCUUUGAACGUUCGAUCUCAAAUCAGGUAGGACUACCCGCUGAACUUAAGCAUAUCAAUAAGCGGAGGA